AGAAAGGCUGGAAUGCCAUUAAAACAACAGCUUGUCAUCUUUCAAUCAGUCCUUAGCUGAAGUUAAAAUCCCACUCAUACUACAUGAUCCAGCCUCCGUAGCAUAGAGUGAGUAGCACCUAAACAAGAACCAAAAUGGAGGGUAUGGAUGAGGCUCAGAUCAUCACCCCCUGGAGAAUAGAGACAGUGUCUGAGUCGCCAGGAAGUCUGGCCCCUACUCAUCCUGGAAUCCCUGAACUUUGACUUUUUAAGAGAACAUACGACAGAUGAUGCCAUCGGAGAAGGAUUGCCUCCUUUGCUGUAUACUUUCCAGUGGGAUGAAGAUUUUGGUCCUUUGCUCAUUCAUGCUCCUGCUUUUCAAAACCCAAGCAACAAAUGAAGCCUCCGCAGCGACUUUGUCACUAUGAAAUCUCAGCAUUCACUAGCCGGCCAUGGUGAGCAACCAGACAAAUGGACACCUAUAUACCGGUCUGUACCUGCAGAGAGAGAACUGCAAAUCUCUGUGACCAUUAAGCUAUCUUAUCUUGUACAUUGUUAAAAGUCUGCUUCCAAAAAGUUUACAUCUCGAAUACUGUAAUUGAAUAGAAACAGGGACCCUACCUGGGUCCUUCAAAUUUCACACCUUGUCUACUGAAGUAAGGGUUGAAUAUGCGUGACUAUCUCUAAGGUUUACGGGCUUACCUGUUGGCAGUAGACUCAGUAGUUUCUACAUGGAAAUGGGGAAACCUGUGACAUCCCAAAUAUUAAGUAUAAAAGCUUUGUUUGUGUAUACUCAUGGCACCAUGCUUUUAAUAAAGAGAUAAUCUAUACAGUUUUCUUUUU